CAGCCUCCCUUCGACGGCAGGCACCGCGGCUCAGGUUGUAGCUUUGCGUCAUCUCGGAGGCAUAAGGGAGGUCUGCAGAUGCGGGCAGUAUCACCUCGUGUUUUCAAAUAAUAUGCUUGAAGCCACUUAACUGAAACAAAGCCCCAGGACUCAUUCUGCGUGGCCCAAAUGACAACCAAGUCCCAUAAAGGUUUAUCAAGCUCUGGGCUGGUGAAUGCCUUCAAUCACAGAGGCUUACAAGAACAACUUCAUCUUGAAAUGGGCAUUAAUACGUGUCACUGCCAGGUGGGGAAAAAUUGCAGUGUUAACCAACAACAAAAAGGAAAAACUAGCUGCUGACCAUCCAUGCCCUCCCACCCCCCAGCCCACCCUUAACCCUAGUAAACCCAAACACAGAUAGGUCUGGCUUGUUCCUGCUGGAGAAGGGGGGGUGGGGGGAGGCAGACUUGGCUUUUAUUAAGGCCACAGUGUGAGAGCUUCUGUGAGCAAUAUUGAAAAGGCUGCACUUGUUUCCAAGGAAUUUGAUUGUUUAUACUUCAUAAUGAUAAGCUUCAAAAGUGACCUGGAAAAAGAAGGCUGCUGGCUUUUCACUCCGCCAGGAGGGGCUGUGCUUUGUUCUCUGAGAGGCACUCUGACCAAAUUAACAGAGUGUAUCUCUCGUGACCUUUUCCACUUAGCAUUGUUUCUUAGGGAAACAGUGACUCCAGGGCCCCUCCAGGCUGUGUGCGACAACGCCCCACCGCACAGAAGGGCCUUGGGCCUCUGCCGUCACUGAGUUAUUGAAUCAGUAACGAAACACAUCAGCCUUGGCAAAUAAAACCUGGCAAGAAGCGUUUUAAAACAAAUGCUGCUGGUUUCACCUGAGCCACUGAAACAAAUUAUGGGGCCCAAGGUGAAACUUGGCAGCGUCUGUGAGCUCUGAAGUGGCCAGCACCAGGGCCCUCGCUUGCCAAAUGCGCAGAUCGCAGAGGAAUGAAAAUUAGCAGUGUUGCCCCCCACACCCCCUGCCCUUAGAAGCACUUCUGAUAGAACUGUUCAGUGAGAUUUAGUCAUCAAAAUGAGCAAAAAAUAUAAUGAGGUCUGAGUAACAUAUGAUGAGAUACUUGUUUGAGAAUCCAAUGGUCUGAUCCCAAAUCAGAAAAAUGGUUGAAGGACAACACCCCCCACCCCAAACACACACACACACACACACACACACACACACACAGAUCCCCUGGAAACAAAAAUGCACUACAUGUCCUAGAUAUCCAGUUAAA